UCCGGCCGGAAGUGCGCGCGGCAGCGGCUCUGGGCCUGCGCGAGGAGGCCGGUGGGGUGACCUUAUGGGCCGCCGUAGCCUGGUCUGUGCCAAGCACGGAGUUACAGCCGACCGUCUAGGCGGAGGCAGCGACACCCUCCGGGAUGCGGUCAGCCGGCCUAGACGAGGAGUCGGCGCAUCUGGAGCGGGGUACAGCAUGGACGCAGAAAGGAUGGGUUCCCGGAAUCGGCAUUGGUGUCAUUGGGGGUGAACUGGAAGACUCAGAGAACACCAGGUCCUCUCAGGUUUGCUGGACAGCUAAGGGCACAGAAAAUUUCAAGCUACACCGCCUUGCUGUGACAUGCCCCGAGUAACCCACAGAAAAUACAUGUUUUUCUAUACUCCCACAAAGGAAAGCCUGCUCUUCAUAAAAAGGCAUUUCCAGCCCUUGAGAGGAGACAGUUAAGUGGCGUCCUUAGGUAGCUUGAGGAAAGUCUGCUCAGAGGCAGGUGGCAUCGAAGCAAACACACACUCUCUCUCCAAAGCCUUAUGUAAAAUGUGUUUGGGAUGGAAUCUUGGUCCCUUACCUCCUGCCCUCGGUCUCUGCGAUUCUGGCAGCAGCCACAAGAGGACCUGCUGCUCCUCUUGUUCCUACGCAGCGGCUUCAGCGGUACAGAUGUCUUUUAUCUUCCUCCCUCCCUCCCUCCCUCCCUCCCUUAUUUUAUUUUUACUUUAUCAUUAUUUUCUGUAGGUUUGUAGGCAGUGGUGCUGUAAGUACUUGACAAACGGCUCAGGAGGGGAGGAAGCCCAGCAGCGCUGUAAACCCUCCCCCAGGCCUGGCUUUGGAGAGCCCGCUGCUCCGCAACAGCUAACGCUGGAGCCCUAACAACCACCGCCGGGCGGCCGCCGGGCGCGGGGAGCCCUGGGGCUCUUGACGAAGACCGGCCACGCUAGGACCAGGGAGCCGGGGCAGUGUUAUCUUUAGACGCGAGCUCUCCUUGGUACCUCGUAAAGUAGCAAAUAAAAUGGGGGGGGGCGGCUAACAGGCAGCAAGAAAGGCAGAAAACAAGCGAGUAUGUUUAUUGGAUCCGGUGUUGAAGCUGCUUACUAAGAAAUACGGCACGUCCUUCUCGGGCAAGCGCUGCUGUGGAUCUGGACGGUGGACGCCGAGGACCGACUGCGGAUGAACCUCAGCGCUGUUUUGUCUUGCUUGGGUCUGUUUCAGACUCUGUGUAAGGGCUUCAGCAGGUAGCUGAGUCCACGGGGGACGUUUAAGGACGGAAUGCCUGUUUCAUUUUGGUCUGCUAGUUAUUUUAUGGCUGUGUAAAUGCGGCAUCUUCAGUACGCUGGGCGAAAAGGAAAGGCUUUGAAUUCUGUGAUUUUCCGAUGAUUUUGGCCGGGUAAACUGGGUGCGGGUGACACUUAAAGCAGAAACAAAAAUGAAAAUGAAGGGAAGAAUACUGGCGCAAAAGGGGAAAGUCCCUUUCAUGGUUCGCAAAGCAGCAUACCGCUUUUGAAGGGAGAAAUCAGCCCUCGACGGCACCUAGCAGGGUGCCCCGGUGAAAUCAAAUGGUCGAACAAACACAGAUGGGGGGACAGACUGCCUCCAGAAUGAAGGGUUCCCAGGAUGUGGCCCGGGGCAGCAGCAGCCGCACCUGGGAACCCCUUAGAAAUGCAAAUUCUCAGGCCCGCCCCGACUUGCUGGAGCAGAGACCUGGGUGGGCCCAGCAACAAGGCCUCCUGGUGCGUCUGAGAGUCACAGGGUCUCACGGAAUCUCUCUCUGGGUUGCAACGUUUUUCCUCCCCGACUCCAGACUGUCCUGAGGCCCAGACCUGAUGUCUUCACAGUAGGGGGGGUGGUCCUGACUCUGCCUCUUCUAUUUUUGUAUAUAAAAUUUCAUUGUGAAAUAAAUCUUCGAUACAAAAGACAAUAUUUACUGUAUAGGUACCAUUAAAAGAAUUGAUGACGGAAUCAUGAUAUGAUUAACCGUGCUGAUGAUGAAAUCAGUCACUCCUAACACUCAGUUGAGGAACUGGAAUGUUACUGGCUCCCAGAACCUGCUCCUGCACCUUGAAGGAAUUGUUCUCUGAGAUGGAGGGCAUUGGGCAUUGGCAGUAUUUAAAAAAAAAAAGUCUCUUCUUUUUUCAUUGCUUCUGACUCCAUAGUGUUGGUUAGACUUACACUAUUUCAAGGAUGAGACAUAACUUUGAUUUAAUGCAUAACUUCUAAUGUGUGUUCUCAUUUACAGUGUCUCAUCCUCACCAGUGUUCUUUUUUGGGGGGGAUGUGAGGGAGGCAAUCAGUUUCUCUCUUUCUUUACGUAACAGAGGUGCUGGGGCUCGAACCCAGGCCCUCUUGCAUGCUAAGCAUGCGCUCUGCCACUGAGCGGUCCCCGCCCCCUCACUGAUGUACUGUAUGAGUCAGCUCCUUCAAAACUGUUUUGUGAACUUCAGAGUCUCCACUGUCGGUUAGUUUCAAGGUCCAAACAAAUUAGUUUUAAUGAUCCACAGCUUCCAGUUUUUGUUGUCAUUCAUAAUAAUCUUCACUGAAAUAAUGUCUCCGUCCCUCCUCCCUUUUUUAUGUGUCUAUGUAGAUAACGUCUAGUGCUUAGACAAAGGCUGAUGAAACGAGCUACACAGGCGUCUAAAGUUAAUGCCGCUUUGUUUCGUUUCACCCACAGCUCGGUAGUUACCAUGGUUACGGAGAAGGGUCCAGGUAGCGCCAGCUGGCAGAUGUGGUAGCACGUUUUCCCUGGCUCAGUUUCUCAGUUACUGCCGCAUCACAGCAACUAGUUUUCAGGGGAAGCUUUUCCCUUCUAUCCUAGGUUAAUUUGCAGAGCUUUUUAGCUCUCAUGUAGCAGCCUUGAUUUAACCAGCUCACCAGGCACAAAAGUGCGUUUCAGCGGAGGUGGGGCGGACCAAGGCGACCAGCACGGAGAAUUUAUGAGAGUGACAGUCCUUCCUUCUUCUCCGUCUGCGUCUUUGUUUAUCCUUCGUCACUGACCACCUUGUAUCAGUGGUGAGACAGGACCGCGUUCUCCGGAUCCUUCUGACCUCAGCCGGGGGUGGGGCUUUAUUAUAACCAACAACCACAUUACUUUGGUUGCAAGCGACAGAAGCCAACUAGAGAAAUGUGUGCUUCAUGGAACCCUGGAGGAUGAGGCUCGAACCGAGGGUUUGAAUCCUUCAGAGCUUUGUCUUCUCUUUGUUGUUUCCUGUGACUAUUUGUUGUUGUGGCAAAACACACACGCCAUAAAACUAACAGUUUUGACCAACUCACUUGUGCUGCUUUGGGACAUUAAGCACAUUCACAGUGUCCUGCAGCCAUCACCACAGUCCAUCUCCAGAGCUUCCUUAUCAUUGCGAAGUGAGACUCUGCACCUGUUCAGCAGUUGCUCCCCCAGCCCCUGGUAACCAUCGUUCUUCAUUCCAUCUCUGAAUUUGACUGCUCUAAGUUUCUUAUAUAAGUGGAAUCAUACAGUAUUUGCCCUUCCGCGACUGGCUUAGUUCACUUAGCAUGAUAUCCUUCAGGUUCAUCCGUGUUGUAGCACAUGUCAGAACUCUCUUCCUUUUUGGGGCUGAGUAAUAUUCUAUGGGCAGAUGUACCAUAUUUGUUUAUCCAGCUCUUCCACUGAUGAACAGUUGGGCUGCUUCCACGUUUUGGCUGUUGUGAAUAAUGUUGCAAUGAACGUGGGUGUACGAGUAUCUGUUCACGUCUCUGCUUUAAACCCUUUUGGGUAUACACCCAGAAACGGGAAUUCUGGAACACAGGAUAAUUCUACCUUUAAUUUUUCGAGGGAUCACCACACGGUUUUCCACAGCAGCUGCACCAUUCUGCAUUCCCACCAUCAGUGCCCAGGAAUUCUCAUUUCUCCACAUUUUUGCCAGCACUUGAUUAUUUUUCUAUCAAGUAACCAACCUAGUGGAACGAAGUGGUAUCUGCCUGGGUUUUUAUUUGCAUUCCCCUGAUGAUUACUCAUGUUGAGCGUUUUUCACGUGCUAGUCGGCCUUUUCUGUGUCUUCUUGAGCGAUGUCUGUUCAAGUCACUUGCCUAUUCUUCAAUGGAACUGUCAGUUUUUUGUUGUUGAGAGCUGGGAGUUCUGUUUUUUCAAACUGAAGUGUAGUUAAUUUCUCAGGUACAGCACAGUGAUUCAUUUACACAUACAUGUACACACAUAUAUUCCUUUUCACAUUCUUCUUCAUUAUCGGUCUUUACAAGGUAUCGCAUAUAGUUCCCUGUGCUAGAGAGUUCCCUGUAUAUUCUUUUUGUUUUUGUUUCUUUUGGGUUCUCUGUAUAUUCUUGAUGUUAAUUCCUUUUCAGAUGUAUCAUUUGCAGAUACGUUCCCCCAUGCCACCAUUGCCUUUUCACUCUGUGGAUUGUAUCCUUUGAUGCACGAAAGUUUUUAAUUUUGAUGAAGUCCAGUUUAUCUAUUUUUUUCUUUUGUUGCCUGUGCUUUUGGUGUCAUAUCCAAGAAACAUUGCCAAAUCCAA